AUUGAACGCUGGCGGCAUGCUUUACACAUGCAAGUCGAACGGUAACAGGUUAAGCUGACGAGUGGCGAACGGGUGAGUAAUGCAUCGGAACGUGCCCGAUCGUGGGGGAUAACGCAGCGAAAGCUGCGCUAAUACCGCAUACGAUCUGAGGAUGAAAGCGGGGGACCGUAUGGCCUCGCGCGAUCGGAGCGGCCGAUGUUAGAUUAGGUAGUUGGUGGGGUAAAGGCCCACCAAGCCGACGAUCUGUAGCUGGUCUGAGAGGACGACCAGCCACACUGGGACUGAGACACGGCCCAGACUCCUACGGGAGGCGGCAGUGGGGAAUUUUGGACAAUGGGCGAAAGCUGAUCCAGCAAUGCCGCGUGCAGGAAGAAGGCCUUCGGGUUGUAAACUGCUUUUGUACGGAGCGAAAAGGUCCUUUCUAAUACAAGGGGCUCAUGACGGUACCGUAAGAAUAAGCACCGGCUAACUACGUGCCAGCCGCCGCCGUAACAC
rnacentral:rRNA from 1 species